CCGCCGCUGCCGCCGCCGUCGUCGCCACCACCGCGAUACAUUGCGAUACACGGUUCUUGUCUCCACGCUACCUACCUACGUGCAGGUCACAGCGCUCCACCAAAUCCAUAGCUCGCUACGCACUAGGCCACUAGGCAGCAUCCUCCUCUCGCCUCCACAUUCUGUGUUAGUCCAUUUUUCCCCCCUACGCUCUCGCCCGUACGCCUCGAUCCCUCGUGUCAAAGACGCGCUCUCUCGUCUACGUCCUCGCGCCGACCACAACCACCAAUACAGCCGCGGUUCGUAAACACAACAAGCCACACGACGACGCACGCGUACAAAGAAGUACGUUUCACGGACCAAUUCGUUUUUACGUCGUUCUUCGGCGUGAUCUUGAUCCAGCAGGAUCUUUUCAACGAGGGAAGACCGUUCCAACGGCGCGAGUGUCGAUUCAGCUGUUUGUGUUUCACUGGGCAACCACUGUUGUGAAUUGUGUUUCCGAGUGCAUAUUUCAGUGUUUACCCGGGUGUUUGACAGUGAAGAACCGGUCGAGCACGUGCGAUCACGAAUGAUUCGCGAGAUUCUGUUGCUGCCCGUCGGAUGGAUGUUUCGCUCGCUGGAAAUCGGUUUCUCGAAGCUUCUCGUGAAUCUGACAAAGACAGAUUUGACGAAUCCUUCGAUUUCCUUACGCAUGGUAAAGUAUUUGGAUUCGUUGUAACAAACGUGUUAUUAAUCUUGCAGACGAAAUCUAAAAAUUGACGGCUGCUGCGAGUUCCUUUCAAUAUCGUUGUGCCACAGUUGACAAAAACUAGAAUUCUAGGUAAUUACGAAAAUUGGAGAGAUCGCACGAUCUACUUGUGCAACCGAAUGCUGGCUAGUGAAUUCCGUGUGAUCGGAGGCAACGCGAAAAUUUAGCUAAAUAUAAAGAAUUAUUCUUGAUUCGCGUGACUCAAAUAAAGAAAGUGAAAAGAUACCAACGACAAUAGCACAAUAAUCUGAUCGACGGUAUAAUUCUUCCAAAUAAUCAUUCGACGCUACCGAGAUUCUGUCCACGUUGACUGCGGCCUAAGCCCUUCCGACGUACUAUCUUGUCACUCGUUCCACGCUUGGUUAGAUCCAUCUGUCGGCUAAACUGCCACGAGGAAGUUCACGGAGUAGAAAUAACGCAAAAACGAUAUAAAUAAGGUAUACUCGUGUAGUAUCUAUAAAAUUACGUCGGUUGGUACGAUAUAAGAAAAAUACGACGAACGAACACCCAGCAAACUACAUGCACUGCAAACAGAAGAUAAAACAGAGGAAUUCCGUUUCGGCCGAGAGAUAUCGACGCCAAGAAGAAAGAUUCUCCGCAACCGAUGCGGUAAAGCUCCAGAGAAAAGUAGUUAAACUCAAGGUAGUACGAGCCACGUGAAACUGGUCGCUAUUUUGCCGGGCCGUGCCGCUUGUAGAGGCUCGAAACCCCCUGGUUUCCCGCGCACAGCACGAGCCGAGCACACACAACUACCCCGACCAACCAACCAACGAGUCUACCCACCGCCACCAGCCCCUACACACAACAACCCAACGAAGCAUCCCCCACUCUGAAUCGCACAACAGCCUGAGCGGAAGUGCUAGUCAGUCGGCGAGCGACCUUCCAACAUUACGGGUUAGGUUCCCUCUUUUUCCACCCGCCGUGUCUUCGUCCUCGUUUACAGAAUCGCGAGGACGCGCUGCCUGAUUAAGUUUCACACGAAGAAAAGGAAGAACAUCUCAAUAGAUAACGAUUCGGUGUCUCGGUAGUGAGAUCGCGAUCUCUGUUGCAUCUUCCUACGACGCUGAACGCGAUAAUGACGCGGAGCGUCUUCCGCAAUUGAUACAUUCGUGAAAGAUCGAGAUAAAUAGUGUAACGGACGAAGGUCCAGAGAGCCAAGGCUACAGGAAUUGUAGAUAUGCCAUUCUAAUUGUUGAUGACACUUUUCCUUAAGGUGUACCACCGCGGUUGUAGUGUUCUUCAUCGAGAAACGCGUUUCAAAAAGAACGUCGUGUAAACAACGUUCCGUGAUUCCGUUUUCUAUAUAGUUCCGUACGUGAGCGUAAUAUCUGGUGAAUGUAAAAAAAAAGAAACAGUGUUCCUAGUUUGAAUUCGCUGGGCCGGAAGCAUCGUACUCAUCUACAGUGGAAGUGCUGAACGAGCAGCUGGGCUUUUUACUUUUACAAAAGUUGGUUAAUAGUGCGCCGACUUUAUGAGGAAACGUUACUAGUAGCUGAGCGCAAACACAGCUUUUCAACAAAUACAGUUAUCUCGAGGGGGAAACAAGAGAGCAAUCAAUUGUAUACUUGUUGAACCGGCAAACCCGGCGUCUUUAAUAUUUGAUACCGGCUUAUACCGCGACUCAUUCCACCACUUUACUCGACUGUAGGAAGUUUCUGUUGGCAAUACAACACCGUUAACUUCUACCGAGACCAAACCUGUCGCGGAGGAAACGUUCGUUCUCCAUUUGUAUUUGUGCCGGCAAUCCGAAAGAUCGACGUGCGAGGCUACUCAAGUCGACCACGUGGUUAUGAGUGUGCAUCGACCACGCCGAGAGUUCUCGAUACGUAUCAAAGAAGUUUUCGGUAAAGCGUUUGUUUCUUGUGUAACAUUUUAAGACGUUCGAAGAGUGCGCUCGAACACAUAAAGACUGAUUAUAGUGAUUCGUAAUUAUAUAUCCGUUUACCGAUUUCUAGCUUUGUGUAAGCAACGUGUCAACGAAGUUCGACGGUGUGAACACAUUUAUACAACGAUAACGGAUAAUUUGACAAAUAAUCGCAUCUAGCCAAAACAUUAGGUGACUUUAAUCGUUUUAUCCGCGAAAAUCUUGUCGAUCAAAUAGGUAAUACAAAAAAAGUGAGGUAGUGAAAAAUAGGCAAAGUCGAAGUGAAGCGGCUGAGAAUUUUAUUAACGAGUAAUCCAGCAACGAAGCAAGCUCCCGAGUGUCUCGAAGAUUAACGAUAAUUAAAAAACCGGUGGAAGUUGGUUACCCCGAGGAAGCUGCAAAGUAGCAAGAUCCCACCCGCAGGAGAUCGUGAACUUAAAGAGACCCAGGUGGAAGUGGUCCAGUCCGGGUCAACGAUCGGCGUUAGUAGAUCGUAUCAGACCCCUCAGCAAGGAGGGUGGGUGCAGUGGUGCAGUGGUUGCAGAAGGGCCAGCGAGGUUGGGGUGGCCUCGUCUACAGGCGCCUUGGCACCGAGUGCACCGGGCCCCGGGGCUGCAGUGGUGGGCUGCUUGGUUGGGGUGUACCCGUGUUCUCCCUCCUCCACGGGGCCCAGGGGCCCCAUAACUCAUCACUUCCAGGCUAUUCCGAGUCAACAACAACCGAUUGGUUGCCGUGCCUGUUGCUGCGUGCAUAGCAAUCACCAGCCAGCUUCGGUCCAGCUUACCAGUCAGCGGGGCGGCCUAUCGCUGAGGGUAGCGAGGGUGGCGUCCACCACCUCCGUCCGAGCCGCCCCCUACGCCCACCCCCAGCACCAGGGGCUGGGGCAGGAGUGCAGGUAAUAAUAAAUUACUAAACAUACAUUGUAGCUUCACUUCGACACGUAUAGUACUCUACUACUACUACCACUACUACUACUCCUAGUACUACUAUUACUACAACUACUACAAAUAGUAACCACUACCAUUACUACUUCUACCUGUACUACUACCGCUACAUCCGCUUCUACUCUGCUCGUCGUCGUCGUCGGCAGUGUUUGACAAAAUAAAAAAAAGUACAAUAUAAUAAAAGUAUAACGUAGUAGCACGUCGAAGUAACAAACACGGUUGAUGGAGUAAAAGAGUUAUCCAAAACCAAAAACGCACAAAAAAGGUGUAGGGAGGAGACGGGGGCAUUGGGUGGAGGUGGUGCGCACAUCCUCGGCAGCCCGAUGCUGUUCGUCCCGUUCACGGUGCCCACCUUCCCCGCGACGCAUCAUCAGACGACCCACCCUGCGCAUCAGACGCAUCAUCAACAGCUACAAGCCACUACCCAGAAUCCGGUGCAGCAGCCGCAACAACUCACGCAGCUCAAUCAGCUGAGCCACCUGAAUCAUCAAGGCAUUGUACCGGCUACGACCAACCAGCCGACCAUACACAGCACCAGCUGUUCGCCGCAACAACAAGCAACCACGCCGAAUAAGGAGAUGAAAGUUAACUGGGCCACGUCUCCGGGAAACCAACCAAAACAGGACACCAGCAAACACUACCACAUAUUCGUAGGAGAUCUGAGCCCAGAGAUCGAGACGCAGACCUUGAGGGAAGCCUUCGCUCCUUUCGGUGAAAUCUCAGAUUGCAGAGUUGUAAGAGAUCCACAGACGCUCAAAUCCAAAGGAUAUGGCUUCGUUUCCUUUGUUAAAAAAGCGGAAGCGGAAAGUGCCAUCGGUGCCAUGAAUGGACAAUGGCUCGGUAGCAGGAGUAUUCGAACGAAUUGGGCGACUCGCAAACCCCCUGCACCAAAAUCCGAAGCAAACGCAAAACCAUUGACUUUCGAUGAAGUGUACAAUCAAAGUAGUCCGACCAACUGUACAGUAUACUGCGGUGGACUAACUAAUGGUCUAACAGAAGAGCUAAUGCAAAAAACUUUCUCGCCUUUUGGAUCCAUCCAAGAGAUUCGUGUAUUCAAGGACAAGGGUUAUGCUUUUAUCAGGUUUUCUACCAAAGAAUCGGCGACACACGCUAUUGUGGCAGUACACAACACCGACAUCAAUGGUCAAACGGUGAAAUGUAGCUGGGGCAAGGAGAGCGGGGAUCCGAACAAUGCUCAACAAACUGGACAGGCGUUAUCGUCGGCGACGUACCCAUACUACGCGGCGGCAGCAGCUGCCGCCGCGGCGGCGGCAGGCGUCGCGGGUGUCGGAGGCGUCGGUGGCGUCGGCGGAGCUGGCCAGCUAGGAUACUGGUAUCCGCCCCAAUCUUAUCCUACGACAGCGACGCAGAUGCAAGCUGGUGGCUUCCUCCAAGGAAUGCAAGGAUAUACUUAUGGACAGUUCGCCGGAUAUCAACAGGCGCAGUACAUGGGGAUGGGAAUGGGUGUCCACGCUGCUGGCACGGCAGCAGGUUGGGGCCAGGGAUUACCUGGGGGACCACAGUUACCGCCACACCAUGCCACGACGGUCACGGCACCCCCAGGGGUGCAAGCCGCACCCCCACCACCACCACCUCCGGCACAAAUGAUGGCCUACCCGAUGCAACAGUUCCAGUAUGUAUUUGAAGAAGUAAGAGGGCCUAGCAAUACAUAUUCGAGAUGAGGGAAUACUAAUGAAAAAGAGUUAUAAAGCCUAUCAAGAUCCUGCAUAAGAAUCUUUCAUCACAGCACAGUGAUCGCUACCACUAUCAUCGCACGGCCUGGCUUAUCCUUACUUUCAAAUAUCACUUUGCGUCAAGGAAACUGCAUCUACAACCUGGCUCAACCUCGUAUUCAACCAGAAAAGUGUCGCUGGAGAACGUAUCUAUAAAAUGGAUAUCAUCGUUGCGUAUGAAAUUGCAACUGAAUGGAAGAAACGCAAGAAACAAAAGCGAGAGAGUGAACGAAAGUCUCGUUAUACCAAUAAUAUCGUCGCUAAUAUUUUUAUUGGAAUUACCCUUCUGAAAUCGAUCCAUAGUUUCAUAAUCGGUCCAUAAGAGAAUGAAUAGUUUAUUGAUCGAACACCACAUUUAAAUAAUCUGAAAACGUUUACACCACACUGAUACAUUCCUCUGAGCGUUGUCAAAGCCAAGCAACACAAUUAUCUUAGGGUAAUAAUGUGUUUAAUUAUUUGCUCACACUUUUACAACAUUGAAAGCAAUUGAGGUUGAGUCACGGUAAAGGUAGAUUCAGAUCGACCAGUCUACGUGUGUUGGAAUGCGAAGGAUAUGUGAGAGGCAUAAGGAGAGAUAGAGAAACAAGAAUGAAAUGAUUUUUAGAAUUAAAAAGGAAAGAGCGAGAGGAAAAACGAAAGUGUGGAAUGUGCGAAUGAAACGUGUGAAAGAUAGAGAGAGGUAGAGUGAAAGAGAGAAAGUUGUCGAGAAUAUUUCUAUUAUUUUCUUGAAAUUCGGACCAAGACUUAACCAGCGUUUGUGUGUUCAAAUGGUAAAGUGUGUUCUUGGUUGCGGUCCAGCUAGCGGAUGAGGACUGGCUGACGCCUAGCCUUCUAGUGUGAUGGUAAGCAAGUACACCCCACCAACAGGAACAACUUCUACAGCAACAACAGUUACCACCACCACCACCACCAUUAUCACCACUACCACAACUACCAACAACAACAAAAUUUCCGUCACCAUCGACGCCACCGCGACAGCAAAAGCAACAAAAAUCAUGCCGCUUCCGGCUUGAUGAAACAUAAAAGCAGAGGGCAGAAAUUGCCGAACGUAGUUAACGAUCGCUUUAAUGAACAGAGCAAGGGAAAAAAAGUAUGACAGGAAAAGGGGAUGAAUUCUUAUCUAUAAAAGCAUUUCUUAAAGUAAACGAUAAAAAAAGACAAAAAAAAAAUGUAAGGAGAGAAUGACAAAGAAAAAAGAGAGUACUUCCAGAUUCCCCUAAAAUUUUCACGUCCAAUAUAACCGGCAAUCUUUAAACGGGAAAGAAAACUAACUGGUACCGUCAACAAGUCGGAGGUAUCCUCUCGUCCAGUCUGUAGGGUAAUGUAGUGUCUCUCUCGGCUUGAAUUAAUAGAUAGCGUUGCCGUCACGGUAGUGUCAAAAGCUUCAGUAAUGAAACACGAAUUCCGGGAUACGCGGACCACCAUGUGAUCAUCAAAGACAGUUUGUAGCGUAAACAACCAAUAUUUUGUGUGUUGUAUCGUCCACAAAGGACUGAUUACGGAAGAGACGAACGAGUUGACGCAUGUUGAACAAGCUCGUGAUUUGCACUUUCCGCCAUUUAAUCGACGCUAAACUCCUUUAUCGACGAUAAACUCCUAAAAAGAGAAAAAAAAAGAGCGAAAGAAAAGCGAUAGGACGCCGCCAGUUAUCGACCCGUAACCCGGAUUCAUUAUUUUUGUAGUUUGGGCUUAACAGUGAAAAUUAAUAAGUCGAAAACGUAAAAAGAAACUGUAAACGCGUUACUCGGAGCGCGAACCAGCGACCGUCAAGUAAUCGUGCUGUAUAAAUGAUAAAUAAGAGAAAUCGAUAAACACGUGCACACUCGUGAAGAUUAUAUAAAGUAAAUUUAACAGAAAAAAAAGUUAUUAUAAACGAAAUUCAACAAUUAGCUAGUUAGGUAGGUAUGUUAUAAUAAAAAGUUACUCGAGGACGAUUCGAAAUUCGGCGGCAAGGCGGAAACAGACCUUCAGAAAUUCAACGAUUCCGCGUUCCUGAGGAACUGUUUACUCGACUAUCGUGAACCACGGAACUGAAAGAUCCACGUGUCUUAAUCCAUUUUCCGCCACUGCGAGGACUUCUUCCUUCGGUUAUUAUAUUUAUUAUCAGACUCGAGGCCAAAAGACAAAUCAUGCACGAAGUCUUCGCAGAACAGUCGAAGAGCCGUUUUUAUUAUUCGACUUGAUCCUUUUGACGCGGCACUUAGACAGUUGGAUAUUUUUAUAAAAGAUCAGCCGUAUGCGCCGAGGGGUGUCGACCGAUGCUGUUGGCGUGCCGAUCUCGCGAUUAAGAUAAAACAAACGUAACACACGAUACAAUAAAAAAAAAGCAAGAUAAAAGGAUAUGAAAGGAUGUAAGGAAGCGACGAUUGAACAAAGCGUCAUCCAGCGAUCGAUCGACUCCAAUCAAUCGUGUCGGGUCUACCGUGGUUUUUAACUUAUACCUUAGAUUUUUAUAUAAUACGAAUACCAUAGAACCAAAGGGAAAAAUCUCGACUUUAAGACGCUUAAGCAAUAAAUCACUAAGCUUAGGAAAGCGAAGAAACAAACCGUUUAUCCCUGCGUCUCUCUACUGUAACUCGCUCUCAGCUAUUCAGCUUGUGAGCCACGAAUUCGUAACAACGAAGGGGUACAUAGAUCGGAGAGAAGGGACACGACGCGAGUUUUAAGAAAUCGAUAAGAGAAAAAGAAAAGAUGGAAUGAAUCGGUAAAUGGUCUGUCCGACGUCCCGAAUUUCGACUUGGCCAAUCUAACGAAACAAAAGAAAUAAAAAAAAACGAAAUUGAAACAAGUGUAAGUAAGAAACAAGUGUAAGCAUGCGUGGAUACGCUCGCGCGUACGAACGAGAGAAUGUUAGGAAGAGAGAACGAGGGUGAGCGAACGAGAGUCUGCGAAUAAUGAGAAAUUAUACAACAAGCGAGAGACGAGUAAAAAAGAUUAAACAAUUCGUAGAUAGACACAUUGCACAAACAGCACGAAAGUUAGAUUAGAGAUCCGUCGAGUUCCUUCCUCGCGAACGCGUAUCCUGUCCUCCGAUUGAAUCUUUCAAAGGUUGUCUCUCUUUGUGUAAUUCCGUCGGAAUCGGAAAACAAAAUCCCUCAGCCUUUAAACCGUUGCUAUAUAUGUAUAUAGUAGCGAACAAAGAAACGAGAGAAGAGAUCGUUAGAAAAGAAACAGGUUAGGGAUUAAGAAAAAAUGAACGCGAAGACCGACGACGGUUUAACAAGUAUAACGAGGACGAAGUAAUCCCAUCUGAUUUGCCUAUCUAUGAUCCCCGCUUUAGACCUUCGUAACCUGUCCAUACUUACUCCAUGCUUCGUCUCUUUCAGUUUUAAGCACGAUCCGAUGCUUCCGUAUCGUACUUCUUCUGUUUCGCCGUCGACCGUUCGAAAUCACCCUUUGAUAGACGCCCACUCUCUCUCUCUCCCUCUCCCUCUCUCUCUCUCUCUCUCUCUUUGCGCCCGUGUUUGUACGGUGUCUUUUUUUCUCAAUAAUGAAACUGUCUCAUCAUACGAGCGCGCGUCGUCGGGUGCAAAGCCAUGAGUUUCGUUAUGAUACGAUGAAUCCCGUAGGAUUUAGACGAGCGAACCGAAUAACGGAUAGAGAAACGAAAGAAAUAGAGACGAGCAAAAAGAAGAAAAAGAAAAGAAAGAGGGGAUAAAGGGGAUGAUCAAGAAUGGAAAACGGGCAAAGGAAAAGGAGAAAAAUGGAGAAAGGGGGAAGAAAACGGGGAGAGAGAUAAAGAGAGAUGGACGACUUUGUUAUUAAUCAAAAGAUAGACGACGGAUCGUGCUUUAAACGAAUCAAAAGCGUUCAACGUUUUCGAAUCAAAAAACGCGACGAUCAAAGAACGAUACAGGGACGUUUGCGAGACGUUAGAAUUGAUGAGAUCGCGAGAGCAUCGAAUACAAGAGAAUGACGAAAUCAAACCCGCUUGGGACAACGUAGCAUUUAGGAAAUAUCAGUAAAUUUACUAAUUUCCCGAACGAUUCGAUACGUAGUACGUGGAUAUGGAUAUAAAAGGUGUGCCUUCAGUCCAUCUCGCGGACCACAAAUAUUUCGUACCAUUAAUUCCUUGUAAACUAAUAUUGUUCUAUUCGGCGAGAGAAAACGAGCAAACGUUUCUAUGCCUGAAACAUAAAACGUAUGUAAGUAUAUAAAUCUGACAACUACGCGUAAUUCGAUAAUCUCUUAGUGUCUUCCCAGUACGAAAAGCAUCUCGACAGAACUUCACAAAUUUUACGUAGCAAGAUUAUUUGUUAAAAUUUAUUACGAUUUAUAGAUGUUCGAUUUUAUUGUUGAAAUUGUUAAAUUAGUUGAAUUAAUUAACUAAUUUUCAUUUAAAUUUGACUACCCGGUUGACUCGGGUAUUUAUUGACGUUUAUUUCUCAAACGGCGAAUCUUCGUCCGAUUAUUCAUAUUGUUAUGUAGUUUUCAAAUUGACACUCUGUAUAUUCGAUACGAGAUCAGUGGAAUAUUUUCAUUCGGAUAAGUUUAAGGCGAGAACUAUACAGAUGAAUCAAAAAUUUGUACAAUGGAGAAAUUUUUAUCGUGUACUUAAAACAUAAGGAUUGUGGCCCAAGAUUUAAAACCAACACCAAACAUAUUUCACUCUAUGCCCGUCAAUUGUUUUAUAAUUGAUAAACACGAGAGAGGUAAGAGCCAUUUGUAAAAAAAAAAAGAAAAAGAAAUUACACGAACAUACAACGAAGUGAUACAAAAUUCAAUAACACGUUAUCGUGAAGCGCGGACGUGAAUCAUUGGCUAUUCCAAACAGUAACGGAGUUCUGUUUCUCGACACAAACGUAAUGAAAUACACAGCCUAAAGGACACGGUACCGAUCGCGAGGAAGAAACGAAAGAAUUAUAAAUAAAUAUAUACAUACAUAUAAAUACAAAAAAUAUAUUAUAUAUAUAUAAAUAAAUAAAUACCAAAACGUGCAGCGACGACGAAAGCUGUUAUUUUGAAUCGUCGUAAGUGAAAAAAGAAAGCGCUGUGCGUGAGAUAAAAAAAGAAAUAGCUUUUAAGAGACGACAUAAGAACAUAAGUGAAACAAAAUAUCGUGUACAUUAUUAGUUAGGCGAACAAACAAGAAAAAAAAUAAAAAUAUAGGUUAUUUUUCUGAAAAGUGGAACGAGCGAGAGAAAAAGGGAAAAGGGCGGCGAAUAAAAUGGCAGGUAAGAGUUAGAAUGUACGACGUAAAUCGUAGCGUGAAUUUAAGGGGCAGCGCGAGGCGUCGUAUUGAAAGAAAGUCGAUUAAAGGGGGGAUGGGGGAUGAAGGAGAAAAUCAAAUCAUACGUCUGGUACACUCUACUCUUACGUCCUUCGGCCGUAUAAUCACUCCCCUUGCCAGAAAGUUCACUUCUCGACUCGAUUCCACUUUCAACGGGAAGAGAGAGAGUGGUCCCCCACUCUUUUAAAGAAUCAGCGGGGAUCCUCAUCCUGUAAAAAGUAUUUGAAGAAUGACGCCUUAAGCAUUAAGGCGUGUAUAGAACUUACCGCUAGUCUCGAGUACGUUGUCUAGGUAAUAAAGUGAAUGAAGCUAGCCAAGUAAAAUACACGGCGCAGCGUCAAAGGGGAAACCAAAGUGUAGUAUAAAGUGAUAAGUAGAUAAUUAAUGUAAUUUAAUUAGUAGAAGAUACCACGGGGUUUUGGAAAGUAACGACCACGAAGCGAGAGUGGAAUCGAGGAAAACCGUGUAAAGAAAUUUAGGCAAAAAAGGGUGAGAAUGAUGCGAACAAUACAGAAGGAUGAGAGCAAGAGAGAAUGGGAGAGAGAGAAUGCACGCUAGAGUGAUACGUCUAAUAGAAAAUGGUCAAAUCCAUUUAUGGUACCUAAGUCAUGUGCGUAAUCACGCCCAGGAAAAGGAAUACAAAAUGACACGUACACUGACAUUCGUACAGGUAAAACGCACGCACGCACGCACGCACAAACACACGUACACGUAUGUAAAUACACACGUACAAACAAAAUCACAUUCUCUACACGGCAGCGUACGUAUAGAGAACGUAGCGGCGAGAAACUUAACAACAACUCUAGGCUUAGUAAUCUAGUCUAGCUUGACGAUCGCUAAGUUAACAAAUAAGAAGAAGAAAAGAAACGUUCACGAAAAAAAAAUGAAUAGCGCAAUAACUAUAUCCGCAAAUCACAUCGAGCACCGUUACACGACAUAUACACACACGCACACAUAAAUACUACACGUAAACGUAAAACACAACAAGACAUAAACACGGAAAUAAAAAUAUAUAGGAAACAAGCUGCGGCUGCUGCCUCCAUCCUUCGUCCGUGUUCUCGAGACGCAAACUCUAGAAUUUCUACAGCCCUGUAACGCGUCCGAUAUUUCGCAAUUCUCGCCGUUUCAAGAAUUUUUACCGUCGUGUCGUUUAAGCUUCAGCAAGCUGGCAUACCAGCUGCCUAGCCGUUAUCGAAUCACGACAUUCUCGCGUUACCACGACCCAGUUCCUUCUUUUUUUUUACCAACCUCCUCUCCUAUUCUUCUUUCACACUUACUGGCAUCUUCGACUUUCUUUCAUUACUACGUAUCACGUCUUUGUGACAUUCUUUUGUCCCGAUGUCCUUUCUUCUUCGUUUUGUCUUCUGGCUUCCUUGCCAUCCUUCUGUGCCGAACGACCGAAUCGCUCUACAAAUGAUUUCCUACACAGAAGGAUUCCUCUCGUGGAGAUUUACCAAAUAUGAUAGCCGACAAUCAUUCAAGAAACAUACACUUAGAGACUUGUACAUGUUCCUCUCAUCGAGGACUAAGUGAAAAUAAUUAACCAAGUUCCAGUAUGCUUUCACGCGACGUCUUACGAACAAUGGACAGAGAGGAUUAUCGGCAUCGGCGGCGAAGGAAAAUAGGAAACGCCAUCGCAUCGGUUUUGUCGAACGCCCUGUUAAUAUUCUAUAUAUCGAGUCACUACACCUUCGCUUUUAACAAAUAUACAACGAAACACUGUUUCAAUGCGUCAAAAGCGUUACACGCGCAUAAAGCACAUAUAAAACAUAUCACUGCGUUGUUUAGCAAAGUCCGUGAAUCUUCGUUAGAAGUCGUAGAAAGAAACAACAAAUGUAACGUUGUUGUUAGAUCCAGUGGCGUAAGUCGCAAGUAUUAGCCGCUUAAAGCGGUUUUUGUUCUUGAUAGAAGUGAAACGGUGAAUGAAAAUAUGAAGUUUGUAUGGUAGAAUUAGGAAAUUUAAACAGAAUGCUUGUUAAGUAUCUUGUAUUGUUUCGUAGACAACCUCUAUAAUUAAAAUUGGUAACGUGGUUACAUUCCUAUAUAAAAUUCUUCGUUCUUGUACACGCUUCGUGAACAAAAAGUUUUCAUGAUUGAAAUUGAUUUAACUAUUUCGUAUAGGAGAAAUUUAUUUUACGUAGAAGUUAUCCUUUUACGCAAUUUGUCAACCGUUCCUUCAACCAUGCGCAGACAGACGGACUGCGUGUACCUAUCUUACCGUCCUAUAAAAUAACAUUGUUUAAGAGUAGUUACAUUUGUUUAAAAAUGUUACUCUGAGAUGAUACGCGCCAAAUAAGAUCACGGCAUAUACAGUAAUUAAACGAUCAUGUAACGUUGUACAUAUAUAGAGUCGUUUCGCAUAUGUAGCAAGAAUCUAGAGAAAUACGACGUAGAAAACUAUAGAUAACUACCAGAUCUAGGUAACCGUACGAUUUAGUCACAGCUAUUGCUGAUUCUUUGUAGCAGCCCGCAGUGGAGUAUUCGUCUGUCCUUUGUGUACAAAGAAUAUUUUGUGUUUGUACAAAUGAAAGAAAAAGAAAAUUGGUGAACAAAAUUGUGUAUUUAACCGUUUGCGCUUGUUUAAUGUUGUACAAAUAAUAUCGCAUCGGAUUCUGAAACAUCGUAAAAAGAGCGUAGAAGUCAUGUUGGUAGAUUAAACAUAACAUGAAAAUAUCGUCGUCGAUAAUUGUUAACCAUGAAAUACAACGCAUGUAAGUAGGCCAAGCAGAGAAACGUAAUAGUUUAGUGAAUGCACAUAAACGCAAGAAUUCCUGCUUUUAUCGUCGAUAACUUGGCUCUCCUUUCGUUCAAAUUCAUAGUAGGAAAAAAAAUAUAGAAUGUUACGAGCGCAAUGAAAAUAAUUCAAGUGUUUAACAAAUGGAUGACAUGCACGGUUUUCUUUAUUCACGGGGAAACAAAAACGUCAAACACCGGGAAACCUAGUCUUGAACUUUCGAAAAGUUUAUCCGCUUGAAUUCAAUCAUCACCUGUAACGUCAUCUUGUCAAUCGGAAACUGGCAAAAGGGUAGGAAGGCAGCAGUCAAGCCACUCUAGAAUACCGAUGCAGAGUACCGUGAAAACAGUUUAGCGUUAACACAAGAAUGUUUAACAGAAAUUUGUAAGAGAUGAUGCACACAGCGAAAGAAAGCAAAAGUAGGAGCCGUAAGCGUAGUCACCGAGCAUACCUUAAAAUAACAUAUGUAUAUGAUCAUAUAAAUAUAUAUAAAAAAAGACUACAAAAAACCAACACGCGCAUCUAUAUGUGUAUACAUACAUACGUCUAUAUGUAUAUGUAUAUAUACACACACGUAUAAUACAAAAAAAAAUAUGUAUAUUAUAUAUACAUACCAGAUAUAAAUGUGUAAGAAGAUAAUAGCCGACAACUAGAGAUUAUAUCGAGUAUAAGCUUAGAAACGAGAACAGGAAAAGGGGGCGGAAGACGCGUCACCUGUUAACGCGUACUCCGCGACAUACUGUGUUACAUACCCUUAGCCGUAAGGAAACUUCAAAACCAUUGAAACGUAUUUCGUGAAAGAAACAGACACGAGAGAAAAUGUUGUGGCUAGCCUGCCGGACCCCCUGAGCCCUUAAAAAUAUGAAUAUGUAAUACGUUUGCUGCAUCGAAUGAAAGGAACGCAACGAUAUUACAAGAGCGAAAGGAGAAGAAAAAAAAAAGAGAGAAAGCGAUCAAGCGCAUGAGAAAGAAAAUACGUGUAUGUAUCGGUUAGCAAGUGAGUGAAUAAAUGAACAAGAGUGAGCGUGUGUGAGAGAGAAAGUGUGAACGAUAGAAAUUCACGCGCCUCGACGGAAAAAAGACAAGUUCUUCGGAGAAACAAAAGUUUAAUAAUAAACGCUAAUUACGAUCACGUCCGAUUCAUACAGAGAUUACGACGUUCCUUCAUUGUUUCAUAGUGUUUCGUACGAUCCGACGUGCGCGUCACGGGGUCCAUUAUUAUAUCGUAUAAACCCCUUCCCACUCCCAUUCCAACCCCCCAGCGCGGUAUGCGGCAUAUCACUUACGACCGUACGAUAAGGAGUAAGGUGCCUUUUUUUCACUUCAUCGUGUGUAUGUAUUUCGGGGUUAAAACAAACAAACAAAACAAAGAAACCAAAAAAAAAAAAGAAAAUAAAAAGAAAACGCGAGUAAACAAAGGGGGAAAAAUCCAACGUAAGAUUUUAUGUAUCACGUGUAGAAACGGCACAACGGAGCUCAAGGGAAGGGGCAUGUGACAUCCAUCCAUCGUACGUCGUCCGACAUACUUUCACGUCGCGAAGAUCCCUUUCCAAAACUCUAAUGCGAAGUGUUGAACGGCAUUGUGAACAAUGAUGUAAUCGAGAAUUCGAAAUGUAUUUCCGCGAUUCGAUGAACGGCCCGCGGGGUCCCAUGGCAGCCUCGUUGCAUACACUUAAGCUUAGGAGAUGUGCAGUCGCUGGACACAGCUCAAGGAGCAACAACCGGGCAAAACCUUGUAUAAUGUACUUACAUGUAAUUUCUAACGACGUGACAGAGAUGAUACGCGAUAAUGUAUCAGGUGCGCGUGCGCGAAUACAGGCCAAUACACACAUACACAUAUAUGUACACGCGUAUACCUAUAAAAUAGUAAAAUACACGUACACGUGAAACAGAUAGACACAUAGGAAUGGAUGAUACAAACGUACACUUUAUACACGAAUCACACAGGUGACAUUACUUAAAAAAAGAAAAGAAAAAAAAUAGAUGCACACGUGCACGUGCACAUAGGGAAAAAUGAUGGAAGAUACCUCCAAAAGACAAUUUUCACAGGAUAUAACAAUGGAAACGCGAGACGCCCUGGGACGUGCGUGAAAAAAAAACGUGUAUGAUAUUAUGUAUACAUAAUAUAGCAUAUAAAGUAUAUUAUAAAUAAUGAUGAAUAUAAAUAAAAAAUAUAUAUAUAAAUACUAUGAAGAAGUAAACAAAGUAUAAAUAUGAAGGAAGUAUAUAAACGAGAAUAUAGGAUAAAACACGCUUAGGCUUAAGAGUAUAAGAUAUUAUUAUGAUGAUAUAUGGUUGGUUUAUAAUGUAAAAUAUAUUAUAGAAAAUGUA